rnacentral:rRNA from 1 species
GACGAACGCUGGCGGCGUGCUUAACACAUGCAAGUCGAACGGUGAACCUCUUCGGAGGGGAUCAGUGGCGAACGGGUGAGUAACACGUGGGCAACCUGCCCCCGGCUCUGGGAUAACUCCAAGAAAUUGGGGCUAAUACCGGAUGUUCACCGCUUCCCGCAUGGGUGGUGGUGGAAAGGGUUUCCGGCUGGGGAUGGGCCCGCGGCCUAUCAGCUUGUUGGUGGGGUAGUGGCCUACCAAGGCGACGACGGGUAGCCGGCCUGAGAGGGUGACCGGCCACCCUGGGACUGAGACACGGCCCAGACUCCUACGGGAGGCAGCAGUGGGGAAUCUUGCGCAAUGGGCGGAAGCCUGACGCAGCGACGCCGCGUGGGGGAUGACGGCCUUCGGGUUGUAAACCUCUUUCAGCAGGGACGAAGCGCAAGUGACGGUACCUGCAGAAGAAGCACCGGCCAACUACGUG